CUUCCUCUGAAGCAUCCACCAGCAGACUUGCGACCGCUUGACUUUAAACGUAUGGUUUCAUCAAGUUACUCUGGGGCAAAGCACCAAGCCAUCAGUCUCAUGGGAUCAGCUGGAAAGCACGCAAUGGCCUGAUUAUCUUCAGUGCAAGUACCAUGAUGUUUAUUACAACACAGACCAUGAAGUAUUGGAGAGCUCCUGCAGUGCAAUGAAAGAGCA